rnacentral:rRNA from 1 species
UACGUAGGGUGCAAGCGUUGUCCGGAAUCAUUGGGCGUAAAGCGCGCGUAGGCGGCCCGAUAAGUCCGCUGUAAAAGUCAACGGCUCAACUGUUGAAAGCCGGUGGAUACUGUCGGGCUAGAGUACGGAAGAGGCAAGUGGAAUUCCUGGUGUAGCGGUGGAAUGUGUAGAGAUCGGGAGGAACACCGGUGGCGAAGGCGGUCUUCUGGACGGUGACUGACGCUGAGGCGCGAAAGCGUGGGGAGCAAACGGG